AUAUCUUUCUCGAUCUUUUGGUUAAGAUAAAGGAUAAUAUAGGUUCUUAUCGGUUUAAUAUCUAAUAUGUGGACCAUUGGUCCACACAAUAUUAACUUAGUUUUAAGGGGAAGAGUUCAUUAAUGUAGAUUGUAGCUUGCUACCUGGGCUCUUGCGCGCAUGCGUUGCAACACUGGCCGGACGCACCCCAC